rnacentral:rRNA from 1 species
AGACGUCUACAUUAGAUACCCGCGUAGUCCCAGCCGUAAACUAUGCGCGUUAGGUGUAUCGGUGACCACGAGUUACCGAGGUGCCGAAGGGAAACCGUGAAACGUGCCGCCUGGGAAGUACGGUCGCAAGGCUGAAACUUAAAGGAAUUGGCGGGGAGCACCACAACAGGUGGAGCCUGCGGUUUAAUUGGACUCAACGCCGGGAAGCUCACUGGAUAGGACAGCAGAAUGAUUGCCGGGCUGAAGACCCUGCAUGACUAGCUG